rnacentral:rRNA from 1 species
UACGUAGGGAGCAAGCGUUGUCCGGAAUCAUUGGGCGUAAAGCGCGCGUAGGUGGCCUCGUAAGUCCGCUGUGAAAGUCCAAGGCUCAACCUUGGAAAGCCGGUGGAUACUGUGAGGCUAGAGUACGGAAGAGGCGAGUGGAAUUCCUGGUGUAGCGGUGGAAUGCGCAGAUAUCAGGAGGAACACCAAUAGCGAAGGCAGCUCGCUGGGACGUUACUGACACUGAGGCGCGAAAGCUAGGGGAGCAAACGGG